rnacentral:piRNA from 2 species
GAAGAUGGUGAAUUCUGUGGAAGGGU